AUUGAACGCUGGCGGCAUGCUUUACACAUGCAAGUCGAACGGCAGCGCGGGCUUCGGCCUGGCGGCGAGUGGCGAACGGGUGAGUAAUACAUCGGAACGUGCCCAGUAGUGGGGGAUAGCUCGGCGAAAGCCGGAUUAAUACCGCAUACGACCUGAGGGUGAAAGCGGGGGAUCUUCGGACCUCGCGCUAUUGGAGCGGCCGAUGGCAGAUUAGCUAGUUGGUGGGGUAAAGGCCUACCAAGGCUACGAUCUGUAGCUGGUCUGAGAGGACGACCAGCCACACUGGGACUGAGACACGGCCCAGACUCCUACGGGAGGCAGCAGUGGGGAAUUUUGGACAAUGGGCGAAAGCCUGAUCCAGCAAUGCCGCGUGUGUGAUGAAGGCCUUCGGGUUGGAAAGCACUUUUGGCGGGAACGAAAAGGACUGUGCCAAUACCACGGUUCGAUGACGGUACCCGCAGAAUAAGCACCGGCUAACUACGUGC
rnacentral:rRNA from 1 species